rnacentral:rRNA from 1 species
UACGUAGGGCGCAAGCGUUAUCCGGAAUUAUUGGGCGUAAAGAGCUCGUAGGCGGUGUGUCGCGUCGGCCGUGAAAACCUGCAGCUCAACUGUGGGCUUGCGGUCGAUACGGGCAUCACUGGAGUUCGGCAGGGGAGACUGGAAUUCCUGGUGUAGCGGUGAAAUGCGCAGAUAUCAGGAGGAACACCGGUGGCGAAGGCGGGUCUCUGGGCCGAUACUGACGCUGAGGAGCGAAAGCGUGGGGAGCAAACAGG